rnacentral:misc_RNA from 1 species
AGAAAACCCAUCGCCGACAAUACCCUUCUCACAUAUCCACCACCGACCCACCAAGUAGCCUUGCCACCAUCGGCACAACACUCGCUGGCAUUAGGUGUCCCUGCUCACGCAACUCCGGUCGUUGGACGUCGCCCAAAACUGAAAAUCCGAAUGGGUCAAGUGAUGAACUGAAACACGACCCACGAGUUUUUUCGGCAUAAGCACCCUCUCGAACACUCUCUAGCCAUCGAUCUAGACAUCUCAUUUGUGGCAACUAACGUCCGGCACCCCUGGUAGAAAUUGUAUGAGGCAU